rnacentral:rRNA from 1 species
ACCUACGGGGGGCAGCAAUGAGGAAUAUUGGUCAAUGGUCGGGAGACUGAACCAGCCAAGCCGCGUGAGGGAGGAAGGUACAGAGUAUCGUAAACCUCUUUUGUCAGGGAACAAAGGCGGGGACGUGUCCCCGGAUGAGUGUACCUGAAGAAAAAGCAUCGGCUAACUCCGUGCCAGCAGCCGCGGUAAUACGGAGGAUGCGAGCGUUAUCCGGAUUUAUUGGGUUUAAAGGGUGCGCAGGCGGUCUGUUAAGUCAGCGGUCAAAGCCCGGGGCUCAACCCCGGCCCGCCGUUGAAACUGGCAGU